ACGGAAGGCAGCAGUGAGGAAUAUUGGUCAAUGGACGGAAGUCUGAACCAGCCAUGCCGCGUGAAGGAAUAAGGCCCUAUGGGUCGUAAACUUCUUUUGUGGUGGAGCAAUAAGGUGCACGUGUGCAUCGAUGAGAGUACAUCACGAAUAAGCAUCGGCUAACUCCGUGCCAGCAGCCGCGGUAAUACGGAGGAUGCAAGCGUUAUCCGGAUUUAUUGGGUUUAAAGGGUGCGUAGGCUGUUCUUCAAGUCAGAGGUGAAAUACCCGGGCCUAACUCGGGAACUGCCUUUGAUACUGGAGGGCUUGAAUACUGUUGCCGUGGGAGGAAUGAGUAGUGUAGCGGUGAAAUGCAUAGAUAUUACUCAGAACACCGAUUGCGAAGGCAUCUCACGAAGCAGCGAUUGACGCUGAGGCACGAAAGCGUGGGGAUCAAACAGGAUUAGAUACCCUGGUA
rnacentral:rRNA from 1 species